GAGGACAAAGGAAGUAGUUUGAAGCAUAGAGAAGGAAGAAACCCCAGAAGCCAGGUGGCAACACAGAAGCCCCGCCCCCGGCUAGACCCCGCCCCGGGCCCGCCUUUCCUUCCUCUUCUCACCCACCCCCCAGUUGCGACUCAUCCUCCUGGGCGGGGAGAGGUGGCAGUCGAGUCCUCCCAUAUCCCAGCAGGCAGUGCAGUCUGGAGACUCUGACAAAGGAGCAGGGAGCAGUCGCAGCUGCUUUCCGAGGAGCCAGUGUUGCUGAGAUUGCCAAAAUGCUUUGGAGUUUUUAACUGAAUCUAAGAAAGUCCAAACUAGAUUUGAGACUGUAAAGCCAGAAGCUGCAGCAAGUGGGAUCCAGUGCCAAUGCAUCAACAAAAAAGACAACCAGAGUUAGUGGAAGGGAAUCUUCCUGUCUUUGUGUUUCCCACGGAGCUAAUAUUUUAUGCAGAUGAUCAGUCAACACAUAAACAAGUGUUGACUCUGUACAAUCCCUAUGAGUUUGCCUUAAAGUUCAAAGUUUUGUGUACGACUCCAAAUAAGUAUGUUGUCGUUGAUGCUGCCGGUGCAGUGAAGCCACAGUGCUGUGUGGAUAUUGUGAUUCGUCAUAGAGAUGUUCGAUCCUGUCACUAUGGUGUGAUAGACAAAUUCCGCCUCCAGGUUUCUGAACAAAGCCAGAGGAAGGCCUUGGGAAGGAAAGAGGUUAUUGCCACCCUUCUCCCAUCUGCUAAAGAACAACAGAAGGAAGAGGAGGAGAAGAGAAUAAAGGAACACUUAACCGAGAGUGUGUUCUUUGAGCAGUCAUGUCAACCAGGGAAGUCAAGCCUGGGCUACGUGAGAUCCUGCCCCCAGCCCCAAACAACAAAAACCACACAGCAACAAACAAAUGUUAAAAAGGAAAAAAAACAACUACAGUUUCACAUACUUAACAAGUUGGGGCCUCACUAAGUUGUUCAAGCUGGCCUCCUAGUUUCAACAUUUGAAGUGGAUGGGAUUACAGACUUGGGCCACCAUUUCCUUUGGAAUAGAUGGAAUUGCACGUAAAACAGAGCCGUCUCUUCAGGACCUAGUUUGCUAACUGUCUUCCUGGGUGUGGUAUGUAUUGCGGCCCUGAUGCUGCCUACUCUAGGGGAUAUGGAAUCGCUGGUGCCUCUCUACCUCCACUUAAGUGUGAAUCAAAAACUAGUGGCUGCUUAUAUCUUAGGUCUUAUCACAAUGGCUAUACUUAGAACAUGAGCAAGGAUUGAAACUGACUUCUGAAGCAAAUUUAUCUUAAAAUAUGAAUGUGGACUGCCUUUUAUCUCUUUCACUCCAUUAACACACUACAAAUUAUUGAAUGAUUUCAAAUAACUGCAAAUGUAUAAUAUAUAUUUUCAAUUAGUCUAUAAUUUUAUUUGAAGGACUGUAUCACUUAAUGUUACAGACAACAAAGAUACUUCUGAGUGACACCUAGGAAAUUAUUUGAAGACAUUCUUUUUAAAUCUAUACCUGUUGUGCAAAUAACUUCAACGUUAUUGUUCAUCUUUUUUAUUUUGAACUCACUUUGAUAAGGGUCAUGGGUCCUUCAAAGUUUUAGACCUAAAUGAACAACUGACCAGCUUGAAAAUAUAAAAUGACAUUUAUUGCCUAGACGCAAGCACCAACAUUACUAUGUAAGUCAUAGAUUUCCUCAUCAUUACAAGGAGCUGCUGUGGUGUUUCUAAGGGGAAACAGUCAGUGUGUGAGGGGUUGAAAACAUAAGGUACUUACUGAGCGAUCAUGCUUACCCUGGACUCUUCAAAGAAGACAAGAUGUAUUGAAAUGAGCUUGUGAACUACACAACAGACUGUGGUUCAAACAACAGGCACCUCACAGAAGUAGAUUGGUUUUUCUGUUUCUAAAGAAAGGUAGGCAUUUUUUUUAAUUAAUUGGUCCAUCCUGGCUUUACUUCUGGUUAAUCCUUGAUGUAUUAAGGAGAAAAUCACUUUUUGGGUUUCUCCCAGGUCCCUUGCUUGCCUGAGUGUAAGUGACUUGCCCUGGUUAGGAAUGUCAGAUGACAAUUAGUUUCUGAGGACAUGAAUUUUUUUACAUUCAAACUCUUAAGCCAAGUAGAGAAAGCCCUAGAUGCCCGUGUCUAUUUUGUAUUGGCCACUGGGAUGUUUUUUAAGUUUUUAUUUAUUCAAAUAAAUUUACCAAAAAAAAAAAAAGCCCCCUAAGCACAACGACUUCCAUUUCUUGAUAGUGUUCUCUGCCGUCUCACAUCUGUGUGUUUAACUGUUGUCACAGCAGCUGGUCUUUCUCCUCUUAGGUUUUUUAUCUGAAAGCACAAUGCAUCGAGUCUCUUGAAAAUCGAAUUCUCUUUUAGCUCUUUUUAUGGAAUAAACUUUAUGCACUGCUAAUGUAGCAUUCUCAAGGAAUAUAUGUACACACAAAUGUAUGCCUGAAGUUGAUUUUUUUUGGCAGAAAACAAUACUCUGCUUGUAGAAGCUUUUUGUCUAGCAUUUCAUAAAUCAUUGUUUACCCAUUUGUGGAGCAGCAAUCAUUCAGUGGAUCAUGUCUGUACAUUGUGUAAUGAUUGAAAGGCACACUGAACUCAUAAAGAAAACAUGUUUGUGAAGCUC